AUGGCGAUCCUGAAAGCAAAACAAAUUGCGGUUAUAAGUUCGAGCGCGCUAUAGUUUCACGAAUGCUGAAAUCGCAGUGUUUAGAAACUUGUUAAGUUUUUAGAGCAGCGGUUAUCAGAUUAAAGACUUGAUGCAAGCGCAUAUGUUUAAUUUUUAUUUCGCUUUAUUUCCUGCUGCCGGUUAUUGCUUGUUUUGAAUUUCCGUUUGGUCGCUCGGUUCGAAUCAAGUUAAUUCCAGUCGAGUCCAUGUCCAACCUUCAUUUUGCGCGUUGAACUGUUGGAAUGACACGAAAGUAGACAAAGCAAAAGAAAUUGAAUUUUGAGAUAACGGCGUCAUAGUGGUAUAGCAACUAAUUAAACUCUCGCAUCUCUGCCAAAAUCUUUUGUCCAGAUGCAAUCGAAUUCUCCGAUAGUCUUUCGCUCUUGAGUUCCUGAUACUAUACUUUGAUGAUCCUAACAACUUUUUUUUUGCUUUAGAUUCAUUAAGACAUAAUGUCACAAGUAGUUGGGAAAUGCCCAACCAAAAAACUUCGAAUCUUAGUUUAUUACCCCUCAUUAUAAAAAAUGGUUAUCAAAGCGAGUUUAGCAGGGCGUUUGAAACCAUUUCCAAAAGGGCGCAAAAGGGAGAGAUAGGUUUCAUUUCCAUCUAAUGUUAUGCAAACAAGUGGGCUAAGUUUCAACAAAUUCCCCCUCCUUUCUUUUGAAUUGUUGCCUUGGGUUUCAGAUGUCGACCGAAUGAGUCUAGUGACUCCAGUCUUUGCGCUGUCAGCAGAGAGUUCGCUAGGAAGUGUAGUAGUGUCUGUAUUAUCUUUAACUAGUUAACGUCCAGUUUUAAAUAGUUUUUACUUCAACAUGUCCUGCAAAUUAAAUCAAUGCUGUUGCGGCUACCCACUCCGGACCGGUACCACAGCGAUUAGCGCCUUCUCGUUGAUUUCUUCAUUUUUAUCAAUCAUUCGGAUUGUACUUAACUUCUCCACGCUCAAAAGAAUUUCGUCGAAUGACGCCAAAAUGUUAUAUGAUUAUAAUGUCGGCCAGUUGGUAGGUGCGAUGGCCUUAAUGUUUAUGACCUUUCUUGUUCUGGUCGCCGCC